rnacentral:rRNA from 1 species
AUUGAACGCUGGCGGCAUGCUUUACACAUGCAAGUCGAACGGUAACAGGCCGCAAGGUGCUGACGAGUGGCGAACGGGUGAGUAAUGCAUCGGAACGUGCCCAGUCGUGGGGGAUAACGCAGCGAAAGCUGCGCUAAUACCGCAUACGAUCUGUGGAUGAAAGCGGGGGACCGAAAGGCCUCGCGCGAUUGGAGCGGCCGAUGUCAGAUUAGGUAGUUGGUGGGGUAAAGGCCCACCAAGCCAACGAUCUGUAGCUGGUCUGAGAGGACGACCAGCCACACUGGGACUGAUACACGGCCCAGACUCCUACGGGAGGCAGCAGUGGGGAAUUUUGGACAAUGGGCGCAAGCCUGAUCCAGCAAUGCCGCGUGCAGGAAGAAGGCCUUCGGGUUGUAAACUGCUUUUGUACGGAACGAAACGGCUCUGGUUAAUACCUGGGGCUAAUGACGGUACCGUAAGAAUAAGCACCGGCUAACUACGUGCCAGCAGCCGCCGUAACAC